UGGGGAAAUUGCACAAUGGGCGCAAGCCUGAUGCAGCGACGCCGCGUGAGGGAUGGAGGCCUUCGGGUUGUAAACCUCUUUCGCCAGUGAAGCAGGCCAUCUUCUUUGUGGGGUGGUUGACGGUAGCUGGAUAAGAAGCGCCGGCUAACUACGUGCCAGCAGCCGCGGUAAUACGUAGGGCGCGAGCGUUGUCCGGAAUUAUUGGGCGUAAAGAGCUCGUAGGCGGCUGGUCGCGUCUGUCGUGAAAUCCCCUGGCUUAACUGGGGGCUUGCGGUGGGUACGGGCCGGCUUGAGUGCGGUAGGGGAGACUGGAAUUCCUGGUGUAGCGGUGGAAUGCGCAGAUAUCAGGAGGAACACCGGUGGCGAAGGCGGGUCUCUGGGCCGUUACUGACGCUGAGGAGCGAAAGCGUGGGGAGCGAACAGG
rnacentral:rRNA from 1 species